rnacentral:rRNA from 1 species
CAGCCGCCGCGGUAAUACGAAGGGGGCUAGCGUUGUUCGGAUUUACUGGGCGUAAAGGGCGCGUAGGCGGACUGAUAAGUCAGGGGUGAAAUCCCAAGGCUCAACCUUGGAACUGCCUUUGAUACUGUUUGUCUUGAGUUCGAGAGAGGUAAGUGGAACUGCGAGUGUAGAGGUGAAAUUCGUAGAUAUUCGCAAGAACACCAGUGGCGAAGGCGGCUUACUGGCUCGAAACUGACGCUGAGGCGCGAAAGCGUGGGGAGCAAACAGGAUUAGAGACCCCAGUAGUCCCUGUCUCUUAUAA